CUCGUAGUUGGAUUCUGUCGAAAACGGCCGGUCCGCACUAUGUGCGUGUAUCUGGUUCGGUUUUGGCAUCCUCGUGGGAGACAGAGCUGCGCUUGAUUGCGUGGGCUGGAAUUCACGACUUUUACUUUGAGGAAAUUAGAGUGUUCACGGCAGGCAUGCGCCUUGAAUACAUUAGCAUGGAAUAAUAAUAUAGGACCUUAGUUCUAUUUUGUUGGUUUCUAGAACUGAGGUAAUGAUUAAUAGGGAUAAUUGGGGGCAUUUGUAUUAACGCGUCAGAGGUGGAAUUCUUGGAUUGCGUUACGACAAACUACUGCGAAAGCAUUUGCCAAGGAUGUUUUCAUUGAUCAAGAACGAAAGUAUGGGGAUCGAAGAUGAUUAGAUACCGUCGUAGUCCAUACCAUAAACUAUGCCGACUAGAGAUUGGAGGUCGUUCUUUUAUUGACUCCUUCAGCACCUUAUGAGAAAUCAAAGUCUUUCGGUUCCGGGGGGAGUAUGGUCGCAAGGCUGAAACUUAAAGGAAUUGACGGAAGGGCACCACCAGGAGUGGAGCCUGCGGCUUAAUUUGACUCAACACGGGAAAACUCACCAGGUCCAGACAUAGUAAGGAUUGACAGAUUGAUAGCUCUUUCUUGAUUCUG
rnacentral:rRNA from 1 species